CUACCCGGGUUUCUAAUCCUGUUUGCUACCCACGCUUUCGUACCUCAGCGUCAGUUAAUGGCCAGAAAGUCGCCUUCGCCACCGGUAUUCCUCCUAAUAUCUGCGCAUUCCACCGCUACACUAGGAAUUCCACUUUCCCUUCCAUUACUCAAGGUCUCCAGUUUUAGAAGCUUACUAUAGUUGAGCUAUAGCCUUUGACUUCUAACUUAAUGACCCGCCUACGUACCCUUUACGCCCAAUGAUUCCGGACAACGCUCGGUCCUUACGUAUUACCGCGGCUGCUGGCAC
rnacentral:rRNA from 1 species